rnacentral:rRNA from 1 species
GACAGAGGGUGCAAACGUUGUUCGGAAUUACUGGGCGUAAAGCGUGCGUAGGCGGUGGUCCAAGUCUGGUGUGAAAUCUCCCGGCUCAACUGGGAGGGUGCGCCGGAAAUUGGGCCGCUGGAGUACGGGAGAGGCAAGCGGAAUUCCUGGUGUAGCGGUGAAAUGCGUAGAUAUCAGGAGGAACACCCGUGGUGCAGACGGCUUGCUGGACCGUGACUGACGCUGAGGCGCGAAAGCCAGGGGGAGCAAACGGGG